rnacentral:pre_miRNA from 7 species
UCCUGCAUGGCUAUGAAAGACCUCCGAAGGGAGACCCUCACUCAAGUCUGGGGAUAAUAGCGGACCCCCAAGAACUCACAAGAGGCU